GACGUAGGGCGCGAGCGUUGUCCGGAUUUAUUGGGCGUAAAGAGCUCGUAGGCGGCUUGUCGCGUCGUCCGUGAAAACCCGGGGCUCAACCCCGGGCUUGCGGUCGAUACGGGCAGGCUCGAGUUCGGUAGGGGAGACUGGAAUUUACGGUGUAGCAGUGAAAUGCGUAGAUAUCGUAAGGAAGACCAGUGGCGAAGGCGGGUCUCUGGACAGUUCCUGACACCGAGACACGAAGGCCAGGGGAGCAAACGGG
rnacentral:rRNA from 1 species